UACGAAGGGGGCUAGCGUUGCUCGGAAUCACUGGGCGUAAAGCGCACGUAGGCGGCUUUUUAAGUCAGGGGUGAAAUCCUGGAGCUCAACUCCAGAACUGCCUUUGAUACUGGGAAGCUCGAGUCCGGAAGAGGUGAGUGGAACUGCGAGUGUAGAGGUGAAAUUCGUAGAUAUUCGCAAGAACACCAGUGGCGAAGGCGGCUCACUGGUCCGGUACUGACGCUGAGACGCGAAAGCGUGGGGAGCGAACAGG
rnacentral:rRNA from 1 species